AGCAGCCACCUUUUAAAACGCGUCAAAGCGUAACCUUAAUUCCCAAAUACCAUUAAUCUUCAUGAACCCCUAAUUUAUAAUGAAUGACUCCAUAUUUAUAUGGAAGACACCAUGCUAGGAUUAGUAACAAGAAUUUAUAAUUCUCCAAAAUGCAAACAUAAACCAACAUGGAUAGACCAUUGGUAGUUACCGAACCUAAAUUCACUGCAAUAACACCCACAAGAAAACUCUGCAGUACUUACUCGUUAACCUAACACUAGCGCAUUACAGGAAAGAUUUAAAAAAAGAGAAGGAAUUCGGCAAAUGACGGCCCCGCCUGUUUACCAAAAACAUCGCCUCUUGACUUAUAAUAAGAGGUCCAGCCUGCCCAGUGAAUUUUUAACGGCCGCGGUAUCCUAACCGCGCGAAGGUAGCAUAAUCACUUGUUCUUUAAAUGGGGACUCGUAUCAACGGCAUCACGAGGGUUUUACUGUCUCCUCUUUUUGAUCAGUGAAAUUGAUCUUCCCGUGAAGAAGCGGGAAUAAUACUAUAAGACGAGAAGACCCCAUGGAGCUUAAAACCAAAUAACAACUUAACCACUCACCCCCCUAUAAAUUUAAGCCCUGUUAUAAGGUUUUCGGUUGGGGUGACCGCGGAGUAAAGCUCAUCCUCCACGACGGAAAGAACACACUCUUUAUUUAAGAACCACAAUUCUAGAAAUUAGUAUACUAACGUUUACUGACCCGAUAAUCGAUCAACGGACCAAGUUACCCUGGGGAUAACAGCGCAAUCUACUUCAAGAGCUCAUAUCGACAAGUAGGCUUACGACCUCGAUGUUGGAUCAGGGUAUCCCGGUGGUGCAGCCGCUACCGAAGGUUCGUUUGUUCAACGAUUAAAACCCUACGUGAUC
rnacentral:rRNA from 1 species